rnacentral:rRNA from 1 species
UACGUAGGGUGCGAGCGUUAAUCGGAAUUACUGGGCGUAAAGCGAGCGCAGGCGGUUUUGCAAGCCGGAUGUGAAAUCCCCGGGCUUAACCUGGGAAUGGCAUUUGGGACUGCAAGGCUGGAGUGCGGCAGAGGAGACUGGAAUUCCUGGUGUAGCAGUGAAAUGCGUAGAUAUCAGGAAGAGCACCCGUGGCGAAGGCGGCUCUCUGGGACGGUACUGACGCUGAGACGCGAAAGCGUGGGGAGCGAACAGG